AAUGUAGAUAUUCUUAGAACAAUGUAACACAACUCCUUUGGGUGGUUUUCAUCUCCGUGGCCACGUUCCCUCUCUCGGGGACCACAUGUUAGUGGUGAAAGAAAAGGGCGCUGAGCCCGAGGUGCUGCCAGCAAUUCAGGUCUUGAUAGGUUGAUGGGAACAGAAAGGAGAGAAGAAGAAAAAAAGUCAAAGCUAGCAAUUAAUGGAGAAGAGAAUGCUUUAAGGUGACAGGCGUGUGUGUGUGUUUUCUGGGCUGCCUUCUUUCCGCUACUAGCCUUCACCAAUCAGGGGCCUUCCAGAUGGAGAAUUUAGCUCCCAUUCUCCUCAGUUAGCAAAGGCCAUCAGGGGAUGUUGGGAGCUGCAAUCCAACACAAACCGGAAGGCAUCCAUUUUGAAAGGGAGGUGGAAGUGACUUUUUACAGAUCUGAGGCCAACAAUGUUGACUCACAGCUAACGGUGCAAUCCUGCGCGUGCCUGCUCCAGACUAAGCCCCAUUCAGCUCACUGAGGCUGACUGCCACGUAACUGUGCAGAAGAUCGGAGAGCAGCUAAAUUGAAAAGGUGUCUUAAGAGUAAAUGCACAGCAGAAUGCGCCUUUGGCUUGGCCUCUGCUUACAUUUCACAUCAAGCGAGAGGCAGGCCCUAUGAUCCAGUGGCUGCUUCCAGCUGCAAAAGCUUUCAUAGCGACAAGGAUGCUCUGUGUACCUCCUUCCACCUCCCUGCUCUGAAUGUACGUGUGUGAGCGAGUAAGAAUACCCCAGAAUAUAUGGCUCCAGGGAUGCCUCUGCUCCACUUCUGAAGUAUUGAUGUGCCAGUUUUCAGCAGAAUAACUCUGUUGCUAUUAACGACCUGAAUUCAAUUGCUAGUGCCAAUGAGUCAACCGGCUGCUGUGCUAACUCCGUCGACACAACUGCAUCCUGUUGAUUCCAUGACUGGAACUUGCUGGGUUUACACCUAAGCAAACAUCUGGCCAUUCGGGACACUGCUGAAAAAGACACUGAAAAACUUUGAUUCUAGUGUGAUGUUGAUGUUGAUGAUGAUAAUAAUAGUAAUAGUAAUAAGGGUAAGGUGACUGGAGAGGUCAUACUCUUGGAUAUUCCAGAGGUUGGAAAUAAAUUCUUGAAAAU